rnacentral:rRNA from 1 species
AAUAGAUACCCCGGUAGUCCACGCCGUAAACGUUGGGCGCUAGGUGUGGGGAACCUUCCACGUUCUCCGUGCCGCAGCUAACGCAUUAAGCGCCCCGCCUGGGGAGUACGGCCGCAAGGCUAAAACUCAAAGGAAUUGACGGGGGCCCGCACAAGCGGCGGAGCAUGUGGCUUAAUUCGACGCAACGCGAAGAACCUUACCAAGGCUUGACAUAUACCGAAAACUCGUAGAGAUACGGGGUCCGCAAGGGCGGUAUACAGGUGGUGCAUGGUUGUCGUCAGCUCGUGUCGUGAGAUGUUGGGUUAAGUCCCGCAACGAGCGCAACCCUCGUCCUAUGUUGCCAGCGAGUAAUGUCGGGGACUCAUAGGAGACUGCCGGGGUCAACUCGGAGGAAGGUGGGGAUGACGUCAAAUCAUCAUGCCCCUUAUGUCUUGGGCUGCACACAUGCUACAAUGGCCGGUACAAAGGGCUGCAAUACCGCAAGGUGGAGCUAAUCCCAAAAAGCCGGUCUCAGUUCGGAUUGGGGUCUGCAACUCGACCCCA